rnacentral:rRNA from 1 species
GAUGAACGCUAGCGGCAGGCCUAAUACAUGCAAGUCGAGGGGCAGCACGGGUAGCACUAUCUGGUGGCGACCGGCGCACGGGUGCGCAACACGUAUACAAUCUGCCUUUUACAGGGGCAUAACCCGGAGAAAUUCGGAUUAAUGCCCCAUAAUAGAUUUACUGGCAUCAGUAGAUUUUGAAAGCUCCGGCGGUAAAAGAUGAGUAUGCGCAUGAUUAGCUAGUUGGUAGUGUAAUGGACUACCAAGGCAACGAUCAUUAGGGGAUCUGAGAGGACUACCCCCCACACUGGUACUGAGACACGGACCAGACUCCUACGGGAGGCAGCAGUAAGGAAUAUUGGUCAAUGGAGGCAACUCUGAACCAGCCAUGCCGCGUGCAGGAUGAAGGCCCUAUGGGUCGUAAACUGCUUUUAUACGUGAGAAAACCCGAGUACGUGUACUCGGUUGAUAGUACUGUAAGAAUAAGGAUCGGCUAACUUCGUGCCAGCAGCCGCCGUAAAAC